UUAUGGCCGACAAUAAAUGUAGCCAGCCAGCAAAGUGAUAGUUUUUAAGCCAUAAGAAUGCUCUGCAUGAGAAUGACCGUGGAGAAGCUUGAUAUAUUGGAACAAAAGUCUUCAGCUAUCAUGGUUUCCUGUUAUAUGGUGAUCAGAUGAGUGCCUACACAUUCUUGGCACUUGCAAAAUGAUGGUUUGUUUGCUAGGUGAGGGCUUUCUAGUUUCAAAUAGAUCCAUUAGGGCACUCCCAAAAGAAACUCUUUCUCCUCCUUUGUAUGGAGACAAUUUAGGCAAUACCAAGUUUAGUUUUAGAGUCUACAAUGAACCAUUUUAAAAACACAUGGAAUAGUAUAGAGGGCUGAGGGUCUAAUAGGUUUUCUUUAGGCUUCGAGCUCUCCAACAUGCUGUAACAAAGAUUAUUUGGGUUGGCUAAGGGGAUUCUCAUGUAUGAGGUAACACUCCUCUUUCUGAUGAAAAAUUUGUGAGUCAGGAAAGCUUUGUCUGACUUUAAAGACAAUUUAAAGGGGUAAUGAUCUGCCAUUCUGCAUAAUCACAUUCACAAGCAUCAGGAAUACUUCUUUUCAGAAUCAUCUUCAGACCAUCCCCAACAAGGCACCGCUUUUUGUAUUUGGAUGGGCUAUGGGGAUUCUCAUGCAUUAGAUAACAUUCCUCUUUCAGAUGAAAAAUUUAUGAUUCAAGAAAACUUUAAAUGACUUCAAAGACAAAUUCAAGCAGCAAUGCUAUUUAAUUGUGAAGCUUUUCGGAUGAUUAAAUUGUCAAGUAGCCUUGAAGCAAUUGCUUGAUAUGUCAUCCAAUUAGAGCUAGUUGGUGUAAUAAUAGGCAACUUUCUAUUUUUUGUUUCGCCCGGUAUGCAAUGAUUUGUAGCUGGUCCUUGAUAUUACUUGUUUAUUUGUGGUUAGCCAACCAGAAUAUUUUCAGGUGGUUGAUCUCUUAGUUGCAGAGUUAGUUCUUAUUCUCUAAUGAAUAUAUGUGUCCGUUAAACAAAAUUAAUUGGGGGAUUACAUUCUUUUAUGUUGUGAAUUCUCAAAUGCAGCUCUGCUUUCUUAUGCAGUUGUUUGAGUGCUAAAAAUCUGAUGAAUGGUCUGAUGACAUGCUUUGAAGUUUCUUGUACAUGAAAAGCUGUGCGUAUCAGCAUAAGCUGUUGUCUCAAUCUGAUGGGGCAAAUACUCUAGUUCAAGGCUAUUACAAAGUUGAUGGAAGAGAUGCCAUGGUUAAUACGCUUCCUUUGCUCAUCUGAUAAAGUUCUCCAACCUGCAUUUUCACGAGACUUUGAUAAUUGUGAUUCUUUGAAAUGAAUUAGAUAAAUGGACUAUGUAAGUCAAAAUUUUUAUGUAGGAGAGGUACAAUUCGAUGCUGAGGUAUAACAUGGAAAUCUUGACUCAUAUCAUUCAACCAUGAAGUGUUCUGAGAGGAAGGAUCAAACUUUUUGGCAAUACAGUUCAUGUGGAAUGCAAUCUGCUGGUGAAAGAGAGUGUCCAUGCCUUGUAAGGGAACUUGUUAUUAAAAAUACUUGGUUCAAAAGGUUUUCUAGUGUCAGUAACCUGAUGUCAAUUUGAUUCAUGACAAACUUGGUGCACCUAAAACAGUCGAAUGGACUAUGGAGAAGGUAAAAAUUUUUAUGUAGGUGAGGUCCAGUUCAAUGCUGGGGUAUACAUGGAAAUCUUGAUUCAUAUCAUUCAACCAGGAAGUGUUCUAAGAGGAAGGAUCAAACUUCUUGGCAAUACAGUUCAUGUGGAUGGCAAUCCACCGGUGAAAGAGAGUGUCCAUGCCUUGUAAGGGAACUGUUAUUAAAAAUACUUGAAAAGGCAUGGCACCUUUUGAGGAACCUUUGCUAUAUUAUCUAAUAGUAUGCAAUGAGGAUAUGACUUUCAAGAAGCUUUCAUCUGUUGAAGGAUUAUAAGUUGGCACAUCUGAAUAGCUUGAGUUGUAAACCUCCUACCAAUCCAUCCGAAGCCUCCCUAUACGAUGCAUAUCUUCUGAUCUAAAGGGAAGGUGUUGCAACAUGAGCAGCUGCCCAACAUUGAAUGGUGCAAGCAUUACCAGAUUCCCUACUUUGAGAUUGAUCAUAUUUUGUCAGAAAAUUCUUGUCUACGCCUAUGUUUAAGGAUGUUUCAGUGCGGUAUAUUCCAACCAUUAUGCUGUCUUCAGUUGUGUGUAUUCAAUCUCAUGAUGCUAUACAUUUUUUUGACAUUUUGAGGAAGAGUUCCUUAUUGCUAGGUGUAAAAGGCAAUGACUAUUACAGCAUAACACAUUCCUUAUUGCUAGAUGUAAAAGUCAAUGAGUAUUACAACAUAACACAUCGUAUAGUGUAUGAUCUUGCACAUGAUCUUGCGCAAUUUAUUUUGAGUUUUGGAAAA